GGCAUACUCAUUAUCUGAGAUCAGUGAAUAGAAAAAGAACUGUUGACUAGGUAUUGCUGGAUGUAAAUAUCCAAAACAACCACGACCAACUCCCAGCCUUCUCUUAAGAUCUAUAAGGUUGCUGAUUGGGUGCACAACCUAUUCAAAAUGAGUAAUUAAAAUGAUAUACAUCCCAUAUAGCAAGAAAAAAAUCUUCUGUCCCAAAAACCAUAUCUCCACCCUGUCCCACCAAUAAACUUAAGCCACUUGUUUUUUCAUUUAUUAGGUAUUUUAAUAAAAAUUUAUAACGUUAACUAUGGUUAAGUCAACAGUUAACUUUUAUCCUAUAAUUAAUGUUAUAUUUUCUCUCUCUCAGAAUUGUAAAAGUCUUAUUUUAAUUCAAUAUCAAUAUACAAACAAAUUUCAUUUUUUUUUAUCUUCCUCCUCCAACGAUUUUUUCUUUCCUGGGUUUCUCCUACUUUAUUGAAGAAAAAGAAAACAAGAUUAUGAAUAUUGAUACAAAUAAUGAAGAACAACACUCCAACAAUCAAAGGAAUGAAGAUUAAGAAGCUACAAAUGAUUACGCUAUAAAAAUAAUGCAAAUUCAUUCCAACAUUCGUGAUGAUGAGAUACCAAAGGUUAGUAUGGAAUUUGAACCUGAAGAACAAGCUUAUAAUUUUUAUAAUGUUUAUGCUUAUAAGGUUGGUUUUAGCAUACGGAGAAGCAAAAGAAUUUGUUAUUUUUAAUAAUUGUGUGAAAUUUAGUUAUAUAUAUAAAAGAUGUUAUAUAAAUUCAUACGAAUGAAUGAAUUUGAUUUCAAAAAAAAAUAAAAAAAUCAUACAAGCAAAACAAAAGAGUUGGACGAAAAUAGCAGUGGGGUAUGAUAUAAAUGUACAUUUGUCAAUAAAAAAAUCUAGUUAUUUUUAUAA